rnacentral:rRNA from 1 species
CAAUAGCGUAUAUUAAAGUUGCUGCAGUUAGAAAGCUCGUAGUUGCAUUUCCGAGGCAAGGGAUUAGUCCGACCUUUGGUGGGUAUUUAAUCCUCUUGCCUCGUCCUUGAGUGGUGCUUCUUGGUAUUAAGUUAUCGAGGAGAUAGCCGCUCAUCGUUUACUGUGAGAAAAUUAGAGUGUUCAAAGCAGGCUUAUGCCGUUGAAUAUAUUAGCAUGGAAUAAUAAGAUAGGACCUCGGUACUAUUUUGUUGGUUUGAGAACCAAGGUAAUGAUGAAUAGGGACAGUUGGGGGUAUUCGUAUUCAGUUGUCAGAGGUGAAAUUCUUAGAUUUACGGAAGACGAACUACUGCGAAAGCAUUUACCAAGGAUGUUUUCAUUAA